GUGCUAUAUAAGAACUGUCAAAUAAAUGCCUUGGUGAAAGGAUGGUACACUGAUCACAUUAAAAUCACCUGCCUAAUAUCGUGUAGGACACUUGUGCUCCCAAAACAGCUCUGAUGUGUCAAGGCAUGGACUCCACAAAACUUCUCAAAGUGUCCUGUGGUAUCUGGCUUCAAGACUUUAGCCCAAAUCCCAGUUGAUCUAGCUCUUGGUGGUUGACAGGAGUCAUCAUGGGCACUCUGACCAGUCUGCAGCUAUGCUGCCCCAUACACAGUAAACUGUGACGUAUUGUGUUCGGACAUCUCUCUAACAUGGCCAGCAUAUGUACAUGCAUCAAUUAGUCUUGGGCGCCC